UACGGGGGGAGCAAGCGUUGUUCGGAUUUACUGGGCGUAAAGGGCGCGUAGGUGGUCUGACAAGUUAUCAGUGGCAAAUCGAGGCUCAACCUCGUGGAAACUGGUAAUACUGUUCGGCUUGAGUACAGGAGAGGUUAACGGAACUCUAUGUGGAGCGGUAAAAUGCACAGAUAUAUAGAAGAACAUCAAUAAAGGCGAAGGCAGUUAACUAUUCUGUUACUGACGCUGAGGCACGAAAGCGUGGGGAGCAAAACGG
rnacentral:rRNA from 1 species